CAUUCCCUUUGAUCAGGAUCGUUGCAACCAUGAGAUAGCUAAGAUGAUUAUACAGCAUGAAUAUCCACUACACAUAGUGGAACAUCCUGCCUUCAUUGAUUUUGUCCGAACUCUUCAACCCCAGUUCAAUAUGGUGAGUUUUAACACUAUUCAAGGGGAAUGUGUGGCAAUUUACCUAGGGGAAAAGCAAAACCUUUUGAAUCUUAUCAGAGGGAUUCCUGGACGAGUCAACCUUACAUUGGAUUUAAAUACCUCAAACCUCAAUAUUGGCUAUGCAUUUCUAACAGGACACUUCAUUGAUGAUGAUUGGAAUUUACAUCGCCGGGUCCUUAAUGUUGUUAUGCUUCCCUUUCCUGAUUCAGAUUAUGCCUUCAAUCAAGCUGUUGUGUCUUGUAUAUCUGAUUGGAAUUUGGAGAACAGGCUAUUUACCCUUACCCUUGAUCAAUCCUUUGCAAAUGAAACUAUGGUAGGAAAUCUCAGAGGCCUUCUGUCUGUCAGGAAUCCACUCAUGUUCAAUGGUCAAUUGUUGAAAGGGAAUUGCUAUGCUCGUGUUUU
rnacentral:misc_RNA from 1 species